ACUCAAUGUUCUAAGUAAGUUCUACUUGUCUUAGUCCAUUUUGUGUUGCUAUAAAAGAAUACCUGAGACUCAGUGAUAUAUAAAGAAAAGAGGUUUAUCUGGCUCAUCGCUCUGCAGGCUGAGAAGUUAAAGAUCAUGCCUCUGGCUUCUGGUGAGGGCUUUUGUGUUGUGUCAAAACAUGGUGGAGAAAUUCAAAGGCGAAGUGAACAUGUGCGAAGAGAACAAAAUCUAAGGGACAUCCUGGCUUUAUAACAGCUACAUCUGGCAAGAACUAAUCUGAUCCCACAAGAGUUAAUGCACUCUCAUAAGAGUGAGAACUCACUCAUUACCGUAAGAACAGCACCAAAACAUUCAUGAGGGACCCACCCCCAUAGCCCAAAUGCCUUUCACUAGGACUCACCUUCCAACAACACCAUAUUGGGAAUAAAAUUUCAAGAUGACGUGUGGUGGCGGCAAACAAACCAUAUCCAAACCAUCAUACCACCUCACCAGAAAUGAGGUUGAAAUGUUCUUAUGAAGCCCCUGCUGCUCCAUUUAAGUACUUCAGCAAAUCUUCCCAGGUUCUGUCUGCUCUCCUCUGCUUCCACCCCAUUGUCCCAUUAUGGAGUUUCCAGAUUCUAUCCUACUUCUUCAUAUCUGGUGACUGCCUCUGUUCAUUCUGGCCAAAUGGCCUCAUGAGUUUGAAAUCAUGACAUUGGUUACCAUCCUGAAGCUUCUGGAUGCUAUCUUUCUGAUUCCACUGACUACAUGCUCUACUUAUUAUCAGUGAGAAAAGCCUGUCUUAUUUCCCAUAUAUGUAGCUCAAACUCCCUCUGGGAUCCUUGCUUCUCUGGGAAUGCAACUUAUAUCUGUUGACGAUGUGCCAGGCACUGUGUUCCAUGCUUUUCAUAACCAUAAAAAUAACUACUAGUAAUAGCAUCUGACAAUUAUUUUUCAGUGUGAUAGUUAGGAUGUGGCUUGCUCUGCUAAGAGUUGUAUCUGAAAUGUACAUGGAAAGUCCAUUUCAGAGAGUAUUCUGUGUAUACUCUCUGUGUACAUUUCAGAGAGAGUAACUGGGACCAGGUUAUAGAGGGCAAUGUCAUAUUUAGAGGUUUAAAUCAUGUCCUGUAAGAAGUGUGAAUCCAUGGAAGAAUUUUAGACAGCAUAUUCAUGUGAGCAAUAUUCAGAGUAUAAUAUUUUUUGAUGACAUCAAGAGAACAUUAUGAAAAUCAAGCAUUGUACAGUCCUACUGAGGUUUUUGAGACAUAAAGUUAUGUUUGUCUUCAUACAAAAUGAUCCCAGUCUCAUACUUUUUUGCAUAAUACAAUAUAUAUUUUUUUAAUUAGGCAGACAUACAG
rnacentral:lncRNA from 1 species